UGAUAAUCGUCCUUUGGUUCUUGCAUGCUGUUGGUUUUAUGACAUAGGGAUUUAGCUGUUUGCUUUAACAUAUAAUGACAAGCCAGAAUAGUAUUAGCUUGAAGAGAAUAAGACAUUCCGCUGAAAAGUUCUUGGGUUCCUGUAAUGCCUUGCUUGGGUUAUGGUGCAGUAUCCUGCUCCUGGAGAAUGUGUAUAUUCUAGAGACUGAAUUUAUGGUAGUGACAAAUUGAUAAUAAGAGG
rnacentral:lncRNA from 1 species